GAUUUAAUCAAUAAAUAGCGAAGUCGCGAUACUGCGCUGAGUAGUGGAGAGGGGAGUAAAAUAACGACCUUAAGGUUUGUCGAUUUUUGUUAAUUUCUGUGGUAAUGUAAAUUUUGCUUUGGAUUUUCACAAAAAUAAUAUUGGAUUUAAAUUAAGAAGGCAAGACACAUGGAGGGUAAAAAAAAUUUUCUUUUUAUUGCAUGUUAUGAAAGUACAUACUUGUAAGAACCUUAAAUUUUUAUCAAAACAUUUAAAAAAUUACGGAAGUUAUAACAUUUUAUUUGAAGCAAUCAAAAUUUUUACAUGAUAUUUCUAUUUUAUUUUAUUUUAUUUUAUUAGUUUUCAUUAUAAUAAGUACACUUUACUUUAAAGUAUCAGCCCAGCAAUGCUUCUACUCGCUAUCAAGAGCGUCACAGGAAGAACUUUGCACCAAUAUGAGGAUGUGUGUGUGUGCGUGCGUGCGUGUGUGUCUGUGUGUAUGCGUGUGCGUGCAUGCGUGCGUGCGUGCGCGUGUGUGUGUGUGUGUGUGAUGUCCAAAAAAAAUUGAUCGUGUUUUCUGUUAAUUGUUCGAAUUAAAUUUCAGCUCAUACGAAUGUAAAAAUAAACCGAAAGGACACAAAAUUUAAUCCUUCUUGUGCAAAUCGCCAGAAAAAAAGAAAAUUUCAAGGAAAGAAUCAAAGAAAAGACUUUUUUGCAGCACCCAACACCCGCAAACAUGGAAUGAGAUAAGUACAGGCUGGCACUACUCAGUUUUAAAUAGUUGCAACCGUUUCCACCGGGCUCAAUUCGCUGCCACUCCACUAGAACUUGUGGAUUGAAGUGAGAGUGAACGUCUAUUUGAAUCAGCGAUGUCAUAUAUUGGUUCUGAAAUUUUUGCAAUGCAAUAGCCAUGCAAUUAUGUAGUUCAAAGACAUUUUCUGGAAGCUACAAACACUACACUUAUUUCGACUCUUAUUAAAAUGCACUUGUGUCAUAUACUUGAAAAAAUAUGGAACAAUAUCUGACUUUCGUGUAAAUUAUGAAAAUUGGCCGUAAUAAUUUCAAGAAAAGUAUUAUAUUUUUUAUUUUUCUUUAAAAAAAAUACUUUUUUUAUUUGAAUAUUGUAAAGACUUAUCUAUUUGCUUUUGAGUGCACAUAAGUAAAAAUAAUAUACGCAUUAUGUUAUAUAUAAAUGUUAUGUCUUAAAUAAAAGUUAUUGAUUUGUAAUAAAAUUAAUGCUUAUUUAUUAUGAGUGCUUUUUAUUUUGCUACACAAGUCAAUACAAGAAUCAUUCCAUCUUUUUGUAACAGAUAAAACGUUUGUAUCAACUUAUGCCACUAAAUAUAAAAUACUAUAACUCUUUUAAGCAUUUAUUAGAUGUAUUGUAUUUUCGUCCAGAGAAUGUUCUUUGGACGUUUUCGGAUGUUCGAUUGUUCCACGGAUAUCUUUUGGAUAUCCGCAUUUGAUUAGCAAAUAUCUACAGUAUGUUUUAUAAACCGGGCA